rnacentral:rRNA from 1 species
CUCUUCUUGUUCAAAUUUUUGAAGUAUAACCUGCCCACUGAAAUUACUUUAAAGGGCCGCGGUAUUUUGACCGUGCAAAGGUAGCAUAAUCAUUAGUCUUUUAAUUGAGGACUAGAAUGAAUGGUUGGACGAGGAAUAUACUGUUUCUUAAUAAUAUAUUUGAAUUUAAAUUUUAAGUUAAAAUGCUUAAAUUUUUUUAUGGGACGAGAAGACCCUAUAGAGUUUAACAAAUUUUAUUAUUGUUUUGUUUGUUAUGAAUUUAUUAUUUUAAUAUUUGUUUUGUUGGGGUGAUGGGAAUAUAGAAUUAAUAAACUCUUUCUUUUAUUUAUAUAUUUAUUUAUAAUUUUAUGAUCCAUAUUUAUUGAUUAUAAGACUAAAUUACCUUAGGGAUAACAGCGUAAUCUUUUUUGAGAGUUCUUAUCAAUAGAAGGGUUUGCGACCUCGAUGUUGGAUUAAGAUUUAAUUUGGGUGUAGCAUUUCAAUUGUUUAGGUCUGUUCGACCUUUAAAAUCUUACA